rnacentral:rRNA from 1 species
UACGGAGGGUGCAAGCGUUAUCCGGAUUCAUUGGGUUUAAAGGGUGCGUAGGCGGAAUAGUAAGUCAGUGGUGAAAGCCUGUCGCUUAACGACAGAACUGCCAUUGAUACUGCUAAUCUUGAGUAUAAUUGAAGUGGGCGGAAUGUGUCGUGUAGCGGUGAAAUGCUUAGAUAUGACACAGAACACCGAUUGCGAAGGCAGCUCACUAAACUAUAACUGACGCUGAGGCACGAAAGCGUGGGGAUCAAACAGG